rnacentral:piRNA from 1 species
UACUGCGUAGUGGCAGUGUGG